UGUACCCACAUGGGUGCACACGCAUGCACAUACAUACUCCUCACAUACAAAACUAACGAGUGGAACUCUAUUGCUAGGGAGCUUCAAAAAUAUUGGUUCACCUGGUGCCCGUUAUUAAAGUUCUUUAGCACUGAGACUUCACCUGAUUCCUGUUAUUCAUAAAGUUAUUUUUAUACUGAGAACUAAAAAGACAGAAUGCUGGGUCUUGCCUGUCUAAUCCCAGCUGUCAGUAGACCAAGGCAGGCUUGUAAAUUCAGGACUAACCUGGAGCUAGAUGGCAAGACCGGUCUCAAGAGAAACAGCAACAAACAAGCAAACAAAAAAACAAAAUUUUCUCAGUCUUCAAUAAUGUUUUGUUUUAGGAAGUAGAGAUGUGUGUUUCAUUUAAUAGAAAAAGUUCCCUAAAGCUAAUUUCUACUGAGGCAUGUAGGAAGUGGUGUGGGACUGCUGUUGCUUUGUUUUGAUUUUUAAGAAAGAUAUAUUUACCUUUAUGGUAUGUGUUAGGGUGUUCUGCCUCCAUGCGUUUCUGUGCACAGCAUGUACACCGUAAUUGUGGAGGCCAGAAAGGGCAUCAGAAUCUUUAGAAUUCAUGUGGGUGCUGGAACUGAACCAGGUUCUCUGCAAGAGCAGCAAGUACCCCAAAUCACCAGUCCUCUCUCCAGCUCAUUUGGGUUUCUUUGAGAUUGGGUCUUACUGUAUGGCCCACGCCAGCCUGAGACUUGAAACAAUCCUGUAUCCACCUCCUAAGUGCCUAGGGUAACAGGCAUACACUAUAACACUUACAGCCUGGGCAGUUUUGGUUUUGGUUUUAAGACAUGAUUCUUCAUUGUGGGGGGGAAAGUAUUCAUAUUUUAAAAGGUUUUCCAGGAACAACCUUUACUUUCUGUCACAUCUGCAAAAUGGAGCUCCCCUCCCCCACUCUCUAGCUGUGUUUUGUGAAAUGGUUGCCGAGUUGAACCAGGAGUUGCCAUAUGUACUUUGUUGCCAGAUGUCGCCCUCUUGUGUUGAGGUGUAGCCUGCUGGGUACCGUUUUAAAGGCCUGGUAAAACAAGCUCAAUUCCCGUCACUCGUCUGUGUACUAGGCAGAUACUAGAUAGGUCUUUUCUGCUUGGGCCAGCUUUAACUCUUCCCUUGCUUUUAGAUCCUACGUGUAGAUGUUUUCUGGAGAAAAGCAGAGGCCGUUUCCACAUUUGUUCUUGGUAGGAGCACUCAGUGAGUGCCGUCUGCCUUUUUUUACUAUAUAGAGUGGUUACUCAUUCCUUCCGGGUAAGGUGGGUGUCAACAGCGCCUACCUCACAGGGGUGUUGUGGGGCUUUGUUCUAAAAUGGUUAGUGUGCUGAAGAAAAACCAACACGAGGAAGCAGUGCCACGGCUGGCCCUAUUCAGUAUUCCAUCCAGUAGAUUCUAGAACAUGCUUGCAGCACCCGUGCACUACUUAAUAAACAGUUCAUCGAGAAGACUAGUUUUUCCCAAAAUGCGCCAGAAAUAGGAGUGCUGCUUGAGUUCUACUCUUCUGUAGUAUUUCUCACUACUGUUCAGCAAGGUAGAUAGGAUUUAGCAUUGUUGGAAAUAAAAUAUGCUAAUUCUAGCUAAUGACAUUUACUCCAAAUACAUUAUUUUCAUAAAAGGAAGAAAGAAAAUAAAAAUCCCAUCGUUUCUUGGAUGAAGACGGUCUAAGUAGUAAAGAGGGAUGGGACUGGAAUGAUUAUCCGUAGGAACUCACUAAUGUUCUCUUGAAGUAAAGCUGGACCACUUUCUCUGAACACUGAAGGAAAUGCCUGCUAGUCACGAAGGGAGAGCAAGCUGGAAAGCGGACAGACAGUUCCUGAGCCUGUUUGCACAGACCGAGUCUUGAUACUGAAACUAGGAUUCCUGAAGAAUACUUGAUAGGUAUUUUUGUGGUAACUGUGCUAAAAAUAGUUGAUGUGGAAAAUUUUUACAGUGUAACUUGUGUCUUUUAGUAUACUUAAACUAAAUAUGUCUGUGGUGUUUCAUUAAUAAAUUGUUAAGUUCCUAGGAGUGAACUCUGUAAACACUAA
rnacentral:lncRNA from 1 species